UGUUCGAGUGCCGCGCGGCAAUGAGCAUAAAACGAUUAUAAUCAGAGCCUGUUGGCGCCUCAUAAACAUUGUGCAAAGAUUUACGAACGCAUCUGCUACGGUCGGCUCAAAUGACUGUUGAUCUCA
ensembl:ncRNA Y42H9B.5 ncRNA